UAAAGUAACGUUUAAUGAAUACACAUUUACAAAAGCCAUCAUCCCUUAAAAUGGGGAAGGUGCACAAAAAUAAUAUGAACAUAUAAAAAUUUUCCUAGAAUACAGGAAACAUAUCAGCAGUAAAGAAGCUCCAUUUACCUUUUUUAAAUGUACAAUAGUUUGGACCUGUUAAAAGGAAUGCAGUCCACCCAAAGCACCUAUUUUCGUCUGUUGUAAACUCAUUCUUUCUACCUUAAGUAAACUGGAGGAGUCAGCUGUGUUAAUGCGGUCAAAUUAAUUUCGUAGUUUGGGGAGGAGGGAGGUUGUGGGAAGGACAGAAGGAGAACUUGGGCUUUCUUUGGUCAGCUGAUGGGGCUUGGAGUUCUUGUGGUUGGGGCCAAAGGUCAGGUCUGGCAAUGCAGCUGUUAUGCCAAAGCCACCAGGGUGUUCUUUUUAGCUUCAGGCUUUGAGGAUGG